rnacentral:rRNA from 1 species
GACGAACGCUGGCGGCGUGCUUAACACAUGCAAGUCGAACGGAAAGGCCCUGCUUUUGUGGGGUGCUCGAGUGGCGAACGGGUGAGUAACACGUGAGUAACCUGCCCUUGACUUUGGGAUAACUUCAGGAAACUGGGGCUAAUACCGGAUAGUAGCUCCUGCUGCAUGUUGGGGGUUGGAAAGUUUCGGCGGUUGGGGAUGGACUCGCGGCUUAUCAGCUUGUUGGUGGGGUAGUGGCUUACCAAGGCUUUGACGGGUAGCCGGCCUGAGAGGGUGACCGGCCACAUUGGGACUGAGAUACGGCCCAGACUCCUACGGGAGGCAGCAGUGGGGAAUAUUGCACAAUGGGCGGAAGCCUGAUGCAGCAACGCCGCGUGCGGGAUGACGGCCUUAGGGUUGUAAACCGCUUUCGCCUGUGACGAAGCGUGAGUGACGGUAAUGGGUAAAGAAGCACCGGCUAACUACGUG